AGGCAGGACAGGUGUGGAGGGCUCGGAACAGGCUCCCCCCCCGAGGUGGUACAGUCAUCCACCCUGGUGAUCUUCAAGAAGUGCCCUGAUGCCCAUCU